CUGCCAUGACCCGUACAUGCAUUUCAGGACUGAUUAAAAGGGCCAAGAUUCACAGUUUAAAAAUCCUGCCCUAAAAGCUUUCUGUUUGUUCUGUGACUUUACUUGCUGGCCACAUAGAUAGUGACAUCAUCCAAAUUUACAUCUCCACCAGAGUGACACACUUUACUUUUGCUCAUACUUCGUUGACCAAAGCAAGCCACAUGGCCAUUCUAACUUCAAACGGACCCACUCAACUUCUCCAAGUGGGUGUCUGAAAGAUGAUGAACUGAGACCAAGAAAAGACCCACUAAAGAUCAAAAAUUGCAGAGAACAAUAUUUCAAGAGGUACGUCUUGGACAUAAACACUGGAACCAUCAGAGAAGCUUCUACAAAACACAGAUGCCUGGGACCUGUACUUAUCAACUGUCACUUUUAAUUGGCCAGGGGUGAGCCUUAAACAAGACCAGUAUUUUGUAAAAACUGCCCGACGUGAUGGUAAUUUGCAGCUAGGAUUGGAACACUCUGGUAUUACACAACAGACUUCAGGACUUUAUGAACUUUCAAACUACCCUUUACAAAUUGAAGUGGAACCAUAUGGCAGUAGCUCCUGCCAGAAAGCAGCCAGUGACAAGAAGAAUCUUGAUUGAUAUGCAUUAAAAAAAAUGCUGGGAAAAAAGGAAG
rnacentral:lncRNA from 1 species